AUGAAGCUCGCGCCGUCCCCGGUGUCACCCGGCUUGGCCGCCGACGGAAAGCCUUUCCCUAGGUCGGGGAAGGAGCUGAAGCGAAAGCAAGAACAUGAUAGCACAACAGCAAGUAGUGAGAGUAGCAAGCUAAAACAUUUCAUAACAGGAAGUCCAGGGCACGAUGAUUUGAAUGAUAGUUUUGAUGAGCAAUUUGGCUUGAAGACUUCUGGGUCUGGAAAGGAGCUGAAGCGAAAGCAAGAACAUGAUAGCACAACAGCAAGUAGUGAGAGUAGCAAGCUAAAACAUUUCAUAAUAGGAAGUCCAAGGCAUGAUGAUUUGAAUGAUAGUUUUGAUGAGCAAUUUGGCUACUUGAAGACUUCUGGGUCUCAUAAUGAGCAAGGAGGUGGUUGUGCAAGUGGCAUAUUGGUGAGAAGCACAAACAAUGAUGUGAAUCUCUUGAAAGAUUCUUGCUUUGACCCACAAGUAUCUGUUGAAAGGAUACAUGAAAAUCUGCGCUCACUUGGUUAUCCCUUGCCAACAAAAUAUUGCCGAGGCAUGCGUUUGAUUAAUCAUUGUGAUGAGAAAUUUGAGUAUGUGGAUGGUACUUGGCGAAAUGUCCAGAAGGAGCUCAGUAAAGAAGUUGCUUUAAAUUUGUCCUGCAGUGUUGUCUCACUUGCUUCAUUCAAUGGGACUACAAGGGUAUUUGCAUGCACAGGCAUACUUAUAGAAUGCACGCGUGUUCUGACAUCAGCAAGCUUAGUCAGAUCUGAUGAUGAAAAUAAGAUCGAUGAUAACUUGAGGAUUAAAGUAUACCUUCCCAACAAACAAUAUGUCGAAGGAAAUCUGAAGCAUUAUAAUUUACACUAUAAUGUCGCUGUAGUAGACAUCAUGCCCUGCCCUGGUGUCCAUACAGCAAAUCUCUACCAUGAAGUACAAUUUGAGCCCUCUUGUAAGGUGGUGGCUCUAGGGCGCACUUUUGUAGGUGGCGCAUUAACGGCCGCAUGUGGAAUGUUGACUGACGAGCCGAGCAAAUUUGAUUGCACAGAGCUUUUGACCUCCACAUGUAAAAUUAAAAAGGUUGGGAUUGGAGGCCCCCUUGUUGAUUUUGAUGGGCACUUUAUUGGCAUGAACUUUUAUGACGAGGGAAAACUCCAUUCAUACCUAGGAAUACCAUUCUUGAAUGCCUGA
rnacentral:rRNA from 1 species